rnacentral:rRNA from 1 species
UACGUAGGGCGCAAGCGUUAUCCGGAAUUAUUGGGCGUAAAGAGCGUGUAGGCGGCCCGAUUAGUCCGCUGUGAAAGUCCAGGGCUCAACCCUGGAAUGCCGGUGGAUACUGUCGGGCUAGAGUCCGGAAGGGGCGAGUGGAAUUCCUGGUGUAGCGGUGAAAUGCGCAGAUAUCAGGAGGAACACCAAUGGCGAAGGCAGCUCGCUGGGACGUGACUGACGCUGAGACGCGAAAGCGUGGGGAGCAAACAGG